rnacentral:rRNA from 1 species
AUUGAACGCUGGCGGCAUGCCUUACACAUGCAAGUCGAACGGCAGCGCGGGGCAACCUGGCGGCGAGUGGCGAACGGGUGAGUAACAUAUCGGAACAUACCCUAGAGUGGGGAUAACGUAGCGAAAGUUACGCUAAUACCGCAUACGCACUAAGGUGGAAAGUGGGGGAUCUUCGGACCUCAUGCUCAUGGAGUGGCCGAUAUCUGAUUAGCUAGUUGGUGAGGUAAAGGCUCACCAAGGCGACGAUCAGUAGCUGGUUUGAGAGAACGACCAGCCACACUGGAACUGAGACACGGUCCAGACUCCUACGGGAGGCAGCAGUGGGGAAUUUUGGACAAUGGGGGCAACCCUGAUCCAGCAAUGCCGCGUGAGUGAAGAAGGCCUUCGGGUUGUAAAGAC